GUGACUCAUGUUCAACGGCCGCGGUAUCCUAACCGUGCGAAGGUAGCGUAAUCACUUGUUCUUUAAAUGGGGACUAGUAUGAAUGGCACCACGAGGGUUAUACUGUCUCCCUUUUUUAAUCAGUGAAACUAACCCCCCCGUGAAGAAGCGGGGAUAUAAAUAUAAGACGAGAAGACCCUAUGGAGCUUUAAAUUUCAAUUCAAAUGCUAUUUAACCCUAAAAGUUUCAACUUUCCCCCCCCCCCAAACUUAGCAUAAUGAAAUAGAAUUUUAGGUUGGGGUGACCGCGGAGCACAAAACAACCUCCACAUUGAACUAGGCCUAUCACCUUGAGCAAUGAACUACAAUCCUAUGCACAAAAAAAUUUC
rnacentral:rRNA from 1 species